rnacentral:rRNA from 1 species
UUCGGAUUAACACCGCAUAAAAACACAGUACAGCAUUGUACAAUGUUCAAAUAUUUAUAGGAUUAAGAUGGGCAUGCGUGUCAUUAGCUAGUUGGCGGGGUAACGGCCCACCAAGGCGACGAUGACUAGGGGAUCUGAGUGGAUGACCCCCCACACUGGUACUGAGACACGGACCAGACUCCUACGGGAGGCAGCAGUAAGGAAUAUUGGUCAAUGGAGGCAACUCUGAACCAGCCAUGCCGCGUGCAGGAAGACAGCCCUCUGGGUCGUAAACUGCUUUUAUUCGGGAAUAAACCACAUUACGUGUAAUGUGCUGAAUGUACCGAAGGAAUAAGGAUCGGCUAACUCCGUGCCAGCAGCCGCGGUAAUACGGAGGAUCCAAGCGUUAUCCGGAUUUAUUGGGUUUAAAGGGUGCGUAGGUGGCUUAUUAAGUCAGGGGUGAAAGACGGUGGCUCAACCAUCGCAGUGCCUUUGAUACUGAUGAGCUUGAAUACACUAGAGGUAGGCGGAAUGUGACAAGUAGCGGUGAAAUGCAUAGAUAUGUCACAGAACACCGAUUGCGAAGGCAGCUUACUAUGGUGUGAUUGACGCUGAGGCACGAAAGCGUGGGGAUCAAACAGGAUUAGAUACCCUGGUAGUCCACGCCCUAAACGAUGAAUACUCGCUGUUAGCGAUAUACAGUUAGCGGCUAAGCGAAAGCGUUAAGUAUUCCACCUGGGGAGUACGCCCGCAAGGGUGAAACUCAAAGGAAUUGACGGGGGCCCGCACAAGCGGAGGAGCAUGUGGUUUAAUUCGAUGAUACGCGAGGAACCUUACCCGGGCUUGAAAGUUAGUGAAUCAUUUAGAGAUAGAUGAGUCCGCAAGGACACGAAACUAGGUGCUGCAUGGCUGUCGUCAGCUCGUGCCGUGAGGUGUUGGGUUAAGUCCCGCAACGAGCGCAACCCCUAUGUUUAGUUGCCAGCACGUUAUGGUGGGGACUCUAAACAGACUGCCUGUGCAAACAGAGAGGAAGGAGGGGACGACGUCAAGUCAUCAUGGCCCUUACGUCCGGGGCUACACACGUGCUACAAUGGAUGGUACAGAGGGCAGCAAGCUGGCAACAGCAAGCGAGUCUCAAAAAGCCAUUCACAGUUCGGAUAGAGGUCUGCAACUCGACCUCUUGAAGUUGGAUUCGCUAGUAAUCGCGUAUCAGCAAUGACGCGGUGAAUACGUUCCCGGGCCUUGUACACACCGCCCGUCAAGCCAUGGAAGUUGGGGGUACCUAAAGUAUGUAACCGCAAGGAGCGUCCUAGGGUAAAACCGAUAACUGGGGCUAAGUCGUAACAAGGUA